rnacentral:rRNA from 1 species
UGGGGAAUAUUGGACAAUGGGCGAAAGCCUGAUCCAGCCAUGCCGCGUGUGUGAAGAAGGUCUUCGGAUUGUAAAGCACUUUAAGUUGGGAGGAAGGGCAGUAAGCUAAUACCUUGCUGUUUUGACGUUACCGACAGAAUAAGCACCGGCUAACUCUGUACCAG